AACAAACGCUGGCGGCGUGCCUAAUACAUGCAAGUCGAACGGGGAAAGCCUUCGGGUGAGUACUAGUGGCGCACGGGUGAGUAACACGUGGGUAAUCUGCUUUAGAGUGGGGGAUAACGUAGCGAAAGUUACGCUAAUACCGCAUACGCACUAAGGUGGAAAGUGGGGGAGUCUUCGGACCUCAUGCUCAUGGAGUGGCCGAUAUCUGAUUAGCUAGUUGGUGAGGUAAAGGCUCACCAAGGCGACGAUCAGUAGCUGGUUUGAGAGAACGACCAGCCACACUGGAACUGAGACACGGUCCAGACUCCUACGGGAGGGC
rnacentral:rRNA from 1 species